AACGAACGCUGGCGGCAGGCUUAACACAUGCAAGUCGAGCGGGGGAAGGUAGCUUGCUACUGGACCUAGCGGCGGACGGGUGAGUAAUGCUUAGGAAUCUGCCUAUUAGUGGGGGACAACAUCUCGAAAGGGAUGCUAAUACCGCAUACGUCCUACGGGAGAAAGCAGGGGAUCUUCGGACCUUGCGCUAAUAGAUGAGCCUAAGUCGGAUUAGCUAGUUGGUGGGGUAAAGGCCUACCAAGGCGACGAUCUGUAGCGGGUCUGAGAGGAUGGUCCGCCACACUGGGACUGAGACACGGCCCAGACUCCUACGGGAGGCAGCAGUGGGGAAUAUUGGACAAUGGGGGGAACCCGGAUCCAGCCAUGCCGCGUGUGUGAAGAAGGCCUUAUGGUUGUAAAGCACUUUAAGCGAGGAGGAGGCUACUUUAGUUAAUACCUAGAGAUAGUGGACGUUACUCGCAGAAUAAGCACCGGCUAACUCUGUGCCAGCAGCCGCCGUAACAC
rnacentral:rRNA from 1 species